rnacentral:rRNA from 1 species
CAAUGGGNGCAAGCCUGAUCUAGCCAUGCCGNGUGAGUGAUGAAGGCCUUAGGGUCGUAAAGCUCUUUCGCCAGAGAUGAUAAUGACAGUAUCUGGUAAAGAAACCCCGGCUAACUCCGUGCCAGCAGCCGCGGUAAUACGGAGGGGGUUAGCGUUGUUCGGAAUUACUGGGCGUAAAGCGCACGUAGGCGGAUCAGAAAGUUGGGGGUGAAAUCCCAGGGCUCAACCCUGGAACGGCCUCCAAAACUCCUGGUCUUGAGUUCGAGAGAGGUGAGUGGAAUUCCGAGUGUAGAGGUGAAAUUCGUAGAUAUUCGGAGGAACACCAGUGGCGAAGGCGGCUCACUGGCUCGAUACUGACGCUGAGGUGCGAAAGUGUGGGNNGAGCAAACAGGAUUAGAUACCCUGGUAGUCCACACCGUAAACGAUGAAUGCCAGUCGUCGGGUAGUAUACUGCUCGGUGACACACCUAACGGAUUAAGCAUUCCGCCUGGGGAGUACGGUCGCAAGAUUAAAACUCAAAGGAAUUGACGGAU